rnacentral:rRNA from 1 species
AGUUCGAUUCUGGCUCAGAUUGAACGCUGGCGGGAUGCUUUACACAUGCAAGUCGAACGGCAGCACGGACUUCGGUCUGGUGGCGAGUGGCGAACGGGUGAGUAAUGUAUCGGAACGUGCCUAGUAGCGGGGGAUAAUUAUGCGAAAGCGUAGCUAAUACCGCAUACGCCCUUCGGGGGAAAGCGGGGACCUUCGGGCCUCGCACUAUUAGAGCGGCCGAUAUCGGAUUAGCUAGUUGGUGGGGUAACGGCUCACCAAGGCGACGAUCCGUAGCUGGUUUGAGAGGACGACCAGCCACACUGGGACUGAGACACGGCCCAGACUCCUACGGGAGGCAGCAGGGGGAAUUUUGGACAAUGGGGAAACCCUGAUCCAGCCAUCCCGCGUGUGCGAUGAAGGCCUUCGGGUUGUAAAGCACUUUUGGCAGGAAAAGAAACGCACGGGAUAAUACCCCGUGCAGUUGACGGUACUGCAGAAUAAGCACCGGCUAACUACGUGCCAGCAGCCGCGGUAAUACGUAGGGUGUGCGUUAAUCGGAAUUACUGGGCGUAAAGCGUGCGCAGGCGGUUCGGAAAGAAAGAUGUGAAAUCCCAGUACUUAACUUUGGAACUGCAUUUUUAACUACCGAGCUAGAGUGUGUCAGAGGGAGGUGGAAUUCGCGUAGCAGUGAAUGCGUAGAUAUGCGGAGGAACACCGAUGGCGAAGGCAGCCUCCUGGGAUAACACUGACGCUCAUGCACGAAAGCGGGGAGCAAACAGGAUUAGAUACCCUGGUAGUCCACGCCCUAAACGAUGUCAACUAGCUGUUGGGGCCUUCGGGCCUUGGUAGCGCAGCGACUGCGGUGGAAGUUGACCGCCUGGGGAGUACGGUCGCAAGAUUAAAACCUGAAAGGAAUUGACGGGGACCCACACAAGCGGUGGAUGAUGUGGAUUAAUUCGAUGCAACGCGAAAAAACCCACUCUACCCUUGACAUGUCUGGAAUCCCGAAGAGAUUUGGGAGUGCUCGCAAGAGAACCGGAACACAGGUGCUGCAUGGCUGUCGUCAGCUCGUGUCGUGAGAUGUUGGGUUAAGUCCUGCAACGAGCGCAACCCUUGUCAUUAGUUGCUACGAAAGGGCACUCUAUCGAGACUGCCGGUGACAAACCGGAGGAAGGUGGGGAUGACGUCAAGUCCUCAUGGCCCUUAUGGGUAGGGCUUCACACGUCAAGGCUGGUCGGGACAGGGAGGGUCGCCAACCCGCGAGGGGAGCCAAUCCCAGAAACCCGAUCGUAGUCCGGAUCGCAGUCUGCAACUCGACUGCGUGAAGUCGGAAUCGCUAGUAAUCGCGGAUCAGCAUGUUGCGGUGAAUACGUUCCUGGUCUUGUACACACCGCCCGUCACACCAUGGGAGUGGGUUUUACCAGAAGUAGUUAGCCUAACCGUAAGGAGGGCGAUUACCACGGUAGGAUUCAUGACUGGGGUGAAGUCGUAACAAGGUA